rnacentral:rRNA from 1 species
GAUGAACGCUGGCGGCGUGCCUAAUACAUGCAAGUCGAGCGAACAGAUAAGGAGCUUGCUCCUUUGACGUUAGCGGCGGACGGGUGAGUAACACGUGGAUAACCUACCUAUAAGACUGGGAUAACUUCGGGAAACCGGAGCUAAUACCGGAUAACAUAUUGAACCGCAUGGUUCAAUAGUGAAAGGCGGCUUUGCUGUCACUUAUAGAUGGAUCCGCGCCGUAUUAGCUAGUUGGUAAGGUAACGGCUUACCAAGGCAACGAUACGUAGCCGACCUGAGAGGGUGAUCAGCCACACUGGAACUGAGACACGGUCCAGACUCCUACGGGAGGCAGCAGUAGGGAAUCUUCCGCAAUGGGCGAAAGCCUGACGGAGCAACGCCGCGUGAGUGAUGAAGGUCUUCGGAUCGUAAAACUCUGUUAUCAGGGAAGAACAAAUGUGUAAGUAACUGUGCACAUCUUGACGGUACCUGAUCAGAAAGCCACGGCUAACUACGUG